AAGCGACUUUCUGUCUAAAGCGGUUUGGUCAUGGACCCCAAUUUAUUUUUGUCGUAAAUACAUUUUCAAGUAGUAUUUCAAAUGGAUGAUAUAAGGACAUACAAAGCCAUCAC